CCAGACUCCUACGGGAGGCAGCAGUGGGGGAUAUUGCACAAUGGGGGGAACCCUGAUGCAGCGACGCCGCGUGGGUGAAGGAGCGUUUCGGCGCGUAAAGCCCUAUCGGCAGGGAAGAAGGAGGACGGUACCUGACUAAGAAGCCCCGGCUAACUACGUGCCAGCAGCCGCGGUAAUACGUAGGGGGCAAGCGUUAUCCGGAUUCACUGGGUGUAAAGGGAGCGUAGACGGCGACGCAAGUCUGGAGUGAAAGCCCGGGGCCCAACCCCGGGACUGCUCUGGAAACUGUAUGACUUGAGUGCAGGAGAGGUAAGCGGAAUUCCUAGUGUAGCGGUGAAAUGCGUAGAUAUUAGGAGGAACACCAGUGGCGAAGGCGGCUUACUGGACUGUAACUGACGUUGAGGCUCGAAAGCGUGGGGAGCAAACAGGAUUAGAUACCCGAGUAC
rnacentral:rRNA from 1 species